rnacentral:rRNA from 1 species
ACUUGGAUAUGGAUUCUUCACGGUAACGUAACUGAAUGUGGAGACGUCGGCGCGAGCCCUGGGAGGAGUUAUCUUUUCUUCUUAACAGCUUAUCACCCCGGAAUUGGUUUAUCCGGAGAUGGGGUCUUAUGGCUGGAAGAGGCCAGCACCUGUGCUGGCUCCGGUGCUCUUGACGGCCCGUGAAAAUCCACAGGAAGGAAUAGUUUUCAUGCUAGGUCGUACU